rnacentral:rRNA from 1 species
CGGUUAUACCAAGUGAUUAAGUUAUAUUUUUAGGUUAAAAAGACAGUUAAGUUUAUUAAGUAGCUUUAGUUUGUUAAACAUCUAUAAAAAAGUAAAAUUUGUAUAUAGAUAGCUGAUCUAAAAAUAACUAAAUAAUGCUGAAUCUGUGAUAGUCUUGAGGGAAACUGGGAUUAGAUACCCCAUUAUUCUUGAUUGUAAAUAUAAUUAAAUUUACCAGAGUACUAUGAAUAGUUAAAAAUUUAAAACUCAAAGGGCUUGGCGGUGUUUUAGACCUAUCAGGGGAACCUGUCUCAUAAUCGACAAUCCACGUAAUAUCUAACCUUAUUUUGUAAUCAGUUUGUAUACCGUCGUCGUCAGGUAACUUUUAAAAAUAUAGAAGUUAGCAGUUAAAACCUUUAAAUUAAAACGUCAGAUCAAGGUGCAGCCUAUAAUAAGGAGAGGAUGGGUUACAGUUAUAAAAAUUAUAAUUACGGAAAUUUAAAUGAAACUUAUUUUGAAGGAGGACUUGAAAGUAAACUAAAAUACAUAGAUAGCUUGAAUAAGGCUCUG